UCAAACCAUGAUUUAUUAGCUCAUCUAUUUUUUGAAAAAAAAUUAUGAGCUAUUGUCAUCACCUUGGCGUCGGCGUCUGCGUCGGCGUCUGGGUCGGCGUCCGGUUAAGUUUUGCAUUUAGGUCCACUUUUCUCAGAAAGUAUCAAUGCUAUUGCAUUCAAACUUGGUACACUUACUUACUAUCAUGAGGGGACUGGGCAGGCAAAGUUAGAUAACUCUGACAUGCAUUUUGACACAAUUAUGUGCCCUUUUUAUACUUAGAAAAUUGAAAAUUUUGGUUAAGUUUUGUGUUUAGGUCCACUUUAUUCCUACAGUAUCAAAGCUAUUGCUUUCAUACUUGCAACACUUAUUAACUAUCAUAAGGGGACUGUGCAGGCAAAGUUAUGUAACUCUGACUGGCAUUUGGACGGAAUUAUGGGCCCUUUAUACUUAGAAAAUUGAAAAUUUUGUUAAGUUUUGUGUUUUGGUCCACUUUACCCC